rnacentral:rRNA from 1 species
UACGUAGGGUGCGAGCGUUAAUCGGAAUUACUGGGCGUAAAGCGUGCGCAGGCGGUCUGUUAAGACCGAUGUGAAAUCCCCGGGCUUAACCUGGGAACUGCAUUGGUGACUGGCAGGCUUUGAGUGUGGCAGAGGGGGGUAGAAUUCCACGUGUAGCAGUGAAAUGCGUAGAGAUGUGGAGGAAUACCGAUGGCGAAGGCAGCCCCCUGGGCCAACACUGACGCUCAUGCACGAAAGCGUGGUGAGCAAACAGG